GCGCUUCCGGCGGCUCCCUUGCGUGGGGCGGCGGCGCGGCGGCUCCUCCGCGCCUCGGCCGGGGCCAUGGGGACGGCGGGCGGCGGUGGCGGCAGUACCUUGCGGCUGCCCGGGCUGCACGGCUACGCGGCGGAGUUCUCGCCCUACUGGCCGGGGCGCGUGGCCUGCGCCGCCGCGCAGUACUACGGCAUCGCAGGUUGUGGAACUCUGGCAGUGCUGGAACAAAAUGAAGCUGGGAUUGUUCUGCUCAGGAGUUUUGACUGGAAUGAUGGCCUGUUUGAUGUGACCUGGAGUGAGAAUAAUGAACAUGUGUUGAUCACUUCUAGUGGAGAUGGAUCUCUGCAAAUCUGGGACACAGCUAAAACCAGAGGUCCGCUGCAAGUCUAUAAAGAGCACGCUCAGGAGGCAUAUAGUGUUGACUGGAGCCAAACUAGAGGAGAGCAGCUAGUGGUGUCUGGUUCAUGGGAUCAAACAGCCAAGCUGUGGGAUCCAGCUGUGGGGAAGUCAUUAUGCACUUUUAAAGGCCACGAAGGGGUCAUUUACAGCACUAUAUGGUCUCCACACAUCCCAGGUUGUUUUGCAUCUGCCUCAGGUGACCAGACUUUAAGAGUUUGGGAUGUGAAAGCCCCAGGAGUCAAACUUGUGAUACCAGCCCACCAGGCUGAGAUCUUGAGCUGUGACUGGUGCAAAUAUGAUGAGAACUUGCUGGUAACUGGAGCAGUUGACUGUAGCUUGAAAGGCUGGGAUUUGCGGAACAUCCGGCAACCAGUGUUCGUCUUGCUUGGUCAUACCUAUGCUAUCAGAAGAGUAAAAUUUUCACCAUUCCAUGCAACCUUAUUGGCCUCUUGCUCCUAUGAUUUUACUGUGAGAUUCUGGGACUUCUCCAAGCCUAACCCUUUGCUGGAAACAGUCGAGCAUCAUACUGAAUUUACUUGUGGACUGGAUUUAAGUCUUCACAACCGUGGUCAGGAAUGACAAGACAUUCCUGAGGAUCUGAUUGAGCUUUGAAGAGAAUCCACAGGCAGAGAGUAGGCAAUCCAUCAAUGACACAGCUAAAAAGUACAGAUACUGUGAACGUUCACGACUUCUUGCCUUGAUUCUGCAAUUAUUUCAAUAAGUAUAUAAAGAAUAGAAAAUACAUAUGUACCAUGAGUGUCUUUAAAUUGUGGACAAAAAUUACCCAGCCCUUUUCUGAUGUAGUUAUAAAGCUGUAUUUUGCUUAACACAGAGGUAAGAAGAACUGAAGCUCUUAAUUUUGUCUGGAAACCAUUCUCAACCUACACCUCACAUCUGUUCUGACCUCUGUAAGGCAGCCAGUGGAAAGUAUACAUUAAUGCUUUCUACUGAGCCAGGCUUUCUGUCUUGCUGCUGAGAACAGGAUUAAGCAUCUAACAGGGAACAGGAGAGGAAUCUUUCAAUUUCUCUGUACUUCUACACUAUGAACAAUGAAAUUCCUAAAUUGCAAGGAUACGUGAUUUUCAACGGAAGUGAUGGCAAGUGGUGUCCGUGACUUAGAACACUUGUCUGCUGUGCUCUUCACGUAUCAUCUGUGACAUGCCAAAUCAGAACAAGACUUCAACGAUAUACAAUACUGAGGUGCUUCCUUUGGAAAUUAUAAUUGUUCUGCAACAAAUGAGGAUAAAUCAAAUGUCAAUUCUCUAGUCCAAAAUCAUCUGUUAUCUGAAUGCAUGUCAAAUUCUAGGUUUUAGAAUAACUUAUGUACAAGACAAAUAGUGAUCAUUUAUUAUUUUCUUUUACUGUGGUUGUGUGUGUUUGGAUGGUAAUUAUACUACAAAUGGGCAGCUAGCUGUCUAAACAGCUGUUUGCAUCAACAUAGUUUGGGAGGCAAACUUGUUUUCUCUAGCCCUCUGUGUGGCUGCACCUCCUUGUGUAAAUAUUCUCCCACAGUCGAUUAGUUCACAUAAAACUGGUUUCUCUUAUUUCUCCAAAGCACCUGGAGCUCAGGGAUGUAUUGAUGCAAGAAGAGGCCUGGCCACAAUCCUUCUGUAUUGCAUUUGGAGAUGGUGAGGGGUGAUACAGCGAUACACACACAUGAUACCUAUUAAUAUGGAGACAGUGAUAAUACCAGUGCAGUGCCCGUUAAACUAGUGUUGUGCUCUGUGUUACACUGUCCUUGUGAUCCAGCUCCCCUGAACCUCCACUUUCUUCUCCCUAAUGCUGUGGGUUAUCACCAGCGUGUCGUGCCAUAUCACAUUCUGCUCCUUCCUUCCAACUGGCCAGAGGCAGUUAGAUCUGAACAGGCGUGCCUGCUUUGUAGCAUCGAUCUGGUGAUCCCAUGAAACGUUGCUGUACUGAUGGUAUCAUGUCUCCUCUUAUGGCAUGAGCAUCACUAAAAUUUUAAAAGCUGUAAUAUCUUACCAGUUGGAGGGAGGUCAUAGCCAAAAUGUAUGCACUUGAGCGGCAUCCCCUGAAGAUAAUUGAAAUCUAGUUCUAAAUUCUUCCAGCUUUAUAGAUAAAUUCUUGAUCAUCUGUCAAGUUUCGGUGUACAGGUUUGUUCUGCUACCUGUUCUCUAUGUGCAGCUUAUGCAAUGUGCUGCGUUAGCUAUGCCAACACAGCAGGCAGGAGAACAGGCAGGAGCAGGGCUGCUGAAGUUGGCCUAACCAGUAUAGCCAAAGAUAAAUGCAGAUGAUGUCCUUAGUGAGGCUAUUUUGCUAUGUAUUUUGUUGUUCAUUUAAAUUAAUUGUACACCUUCAACAGGCCCAGAAAUGUUGACUGUUUCGUAUAAAAGUAGAGUUACAUCUUGUGGAAGUGUACAGAAAAAACAGAGACUCUCUUUCUGCCUUUUUUCUUUUGAUCAUUAGCUCUUACCUUUUACACUUAAUUGCCAAGGAACUGAUAGCUUCCACCCAGCUGUUGUGGCUAUCACACUGCUAUAGUUAUAUCACUACAUGUACUUCAUUUUAAUCUCUCCUUAUGGUCCUUCUCCAGGAUGCUACUAAAGUUAUGCAGUUAGUGAUCCUUUGAGAUUAAAAGAUCCUACAGCAUCUGUUCUUUUACUUAAUUUCAGAGUGGAUUUUUGCAUGGAAAGGUUUAACAUUCGCAGCUGGUUACAUUUGAUCAAUUUGAACUCCUUUUACAGAGUUUGGAGUGGGGAAAGGGAGGUGACAUUUCCUACUAGUGUUUAUUUUAUGUCUUUCCCAAACCAUUAAAAUUAAACUUUCACUGCCUAAGUCACAUUCAUGAGUAAUGGUCACUCUUUGCCAUUAUCAGCAGAAGUCUCAUCCUAAGGUGUCUGAAAGGUUGCUGUCAGGCAUCACAGUUCUGUAAAAGCUGCAAGUGUACAGAGAGGAAAAUGCACUUUAAUUUUGAUUCUGAAGUACUGGGAAGAGGUGGGAGGCAGCAGUUUCUCAGUAAAUGUGUUGUAUGUGCAUUGUAUUUGAUUCAGCGGCUUACAAAAACUUGCUACUUCUGUGAUCCUCAUCUUUUAGUCAAUAUAGUGGAUUUUUUCUUUUCUGCAUGAUCAAUAGAUCUGUUUGAGAAGUCCCUGUGAAUUGCGCUAGUGAAACUCAAUGGAAGGCAACAGGAUUUUGCAGCUGUUACCAAAACAUUGUUUGGCUUAUGCUUAUCUGUGAUUAUAUCCCACAAGGAAACAACUUACCUUAACUCUGACCUGAAGGAUGAGUCUGAAGAUUGGAUAGGGUCGUUAGAAAACAUAGUUUCACUGCAUGUAAAUUCACUGCAUUUGGGGUCGCCAAGGUUAGUGUCAGCACAGAAAAGGCAUUUUGCAGUUCCAAUGUAUCUUCUACAGAACUUAAAAUUUACUUCAUUGAUUAAAAACAGUGCUUGAAAGAGUGGGAAGAUCUGUUUCCCGUUAUGUGUAGAGUACAGAAGAACUGCUACAAAUUCUGUGCAGAUUCUGAUUUUAUUUCUCUCUAACCUGCAACUCCCAUCUAGUUUUCCUUUAUGUCUUACUGAUGAAACGCACACUCAGAGGACUUGCAUUUAGAAAUGUGUAGUACAACUACCAAGUCAUUUUCCUGUUGCCUGUGUCAGGGCAACAAAUAAACGUUGAGGCAGCUCCCUGUUUUUUAGAUCAGUUCUUUGUGACAUAUCUUUGCAAUCUGAAAAAUAAUGCCUCUCAUGUCUUUUAUCUUUUCUCUCCUUAAGAAAGAAAUGGAUUUCUUAAGCAGUAUUUGGAACAUCUGUUUCUGAUAACUGUAGUUUGAACCUAGAUCUUUAUAAGAACUUCUGGUCCAGGGCUUGUUUUAUUCUCUCUUUACUGGAAAUAAUAACUAAAUCAAUGUGUGGGGGUUUUUUUCAAAAGGAAAUUGAAAAAUUAUUGGUAUUACUGCACAUUGAAAAUGUUUUAAAUUACAACCUUCCAUCACUUUCACUCUCAUGUAAAGGUAGGCGUCGUGUGCAGUUCACUCUGACAACGGUUGACCAAACAAAAGGCCACACUAGUGGUUCGGAUUUUCUAGUACAGAAUAGGUAUUGAAUGCAUUUAAACUCAUGCAUGAUCCAUUAUGCACUUAACCAACCAGUUUUUAUGAUCACCUGUGAUCAUUAAUUUGGUGAGUAGCAAACCUGAUAGCUUGCCUUAUCUCCACUAAAUCUCCAUCCCACAUGCUUACAGAGGAUGCUCAGGACCCCUCAAAAAUACAUAAUGAUGAUAUAAAUAGACCAUUAAAUUCUGUAUGAAAAGACACAGAAGAUAGGAAACUAAAAGGGGAAGGGAGACACAACAUUAAUGGAAGUGAAAAACUGAGUACUUUUUCCACUGUCUC